rnacentral:rRNA from 1 species
GAUGAACGCUGGCGGCGUGCUUAACACAUGCAAGUCGAACGAAGCAUUUGCGACAGAUUUUUUCGGAAUGAAGUUGCUUAUGACUGAGUGGCGGACGGGUGAGUAACGCGUGGGUAACCUGCCUUGUACUGGGGGAUAGCAGCUGGAAACGGCUGGUAAUACCGCAUAAGCGCACAAUGUUGCAUGACAUGGUGUGAAAAACUCCGGUGGUAUAAGAUGGACCCGCGUCUGAUUAGCUAGUUGGCGAGAUAACAGCCCACCAAGGCGACGAUCAGUAGCCGACCUGAGAGGGUGACCGGCCACAUUGGGACUGAGACACGGCCCAGACUCCUACGGGAGGCAGCAGUGGGGAAUAUUGCACAAUGGAGGAAACUCUGAUGCAGCGACGCCGCGUGAGUGAAGAAGUAAUUCGUUAUGUAAAGCUCUAUCAGCAGGGAAGAUAGUGACGGUACCUGACGAAGAAGCUCCGGCUAAAUACGUG